GGCAGAGUAAGAAACACAAAGGUCAUGACCAGGUGUCCCUGAGGUCUCUGAGCAUGCUGAACGGUGAGAGAAAGUUUAAAAUGAGCUCAGAAAAGCGAGUUCAAGGAGACGCAGCAGAGCAGGCCUUCAGCUGCAGGGACAGGAAGACCUUAGUGUGCAAGCAUGACCCGGAGACAGACACCAGCGACAGAGAGGCAGCCGCCAGUCAGCUUUGGUGAGUCACCAGAGGAGCCCAAGGUGAAGGAAAAUCAGCAGCCUAAGGGAAUGAUGCUCUCCAACAUCCAGCCCGAAUGGAGUGCUUGGGAAAAGAUUUGGAGGCCUCUUUGAGGCUCUGAGAUAUAAAUUUUGAGGCAAGGCAAGACAAUCAGGACUCAGAAGUAAUAGUGAAGGCGAACCCUCUGAAAGGAGUCUUUGGAUCCCCAAAGGGUCAAGACCCACAGGUCGAGAAACACUGCCUUAGGCGCUGGCCGUGAUUUCCUGCAGAGAUGGAGAUGGGGGUGUUGCAGUUGGACAGAGUUGGAACUCAGGCUUCAGCAGGUGAAUACCGGAGUAAAUUUGGCCUAGGGCACCAUACUCCCAAUUGG